GGUUGUUUCCCGUAUAUGGCUAAUUUUUGUGGUCCGCACACAUACCGCGACCCCGUCCGUUCCCCUCAUCUCUCAUCUCUCAUCUCUCACGCCUCUCGAGACCUAGACUAGGGUGCCGCCGCCGCCGCAACCCCAACCGGAGAUGCUCCCUCGGCGGAGGGCUUUGACGCGCACGGCCGUGUCCCGCCGGCUUCUGCGCCGCGUGUGGCCCGAACACCGGCCAUCCUGCGGAAUCUCCCUGGCUUCUGCGACGCCUGUGGACGGAGGAGGGGAGGCCCGGAGCGCCGGUCAUCCUUGCGAAUAUCUCCAUGGCAGAGACGGUGCAAUGGUAGCUGACUUCUAUGGUCGGCCUCUGUCGACGUUUGACGGCAAACUGGUCUGGUGAGUUGAUCUGACUGAUGGGAAGUACGGUGCAUCGCCGCCCUGCUCCGGUGACUGUUCUCCGUAGACUCCAGGCCGGCAGUAUAGUUUUCGUAGAUCUGCUCGAGGAGCAUCCCUCUAUGGCGUUGACCGCCACAGAUCUGAAAGUACCGGUGGGGGACUCAGAUCUGCAAGGAGAGACGUGCGGAUCUCCACUACUAAAGCCAUGGCAAGUAGCUCGUUGGGUCGAGCGUUGGAGCGACUAGUCCAGACUAGUCUGGGUGUUCGAGUCGAUCGACUCAAUUUGGGAGGGAUAAGUUAUCAGCGCUCAGCACACGGGAGGGAAAAAUUGCAACCCUCCACAAUCUCCGCCUCACCUGGGACCAGGCCAUCGCCGCCAGCCAUUAACGGCCAGGAACAUUACGGCGCCCUCCUUCCGCUGGUUCUGCUCCACCCCUCUGCUGCUGUGCUCCUCCCUGGAUGGACUCAAUUUUUAUUGUAUAUAUUUCAUAUUAGGUAUUAGUAGUUGAGUACUGUAAGUUGAGUACUACAGUACCAUGUAGACUAGUCCAGCAGUACUCUAGACUAGUCACGAUUGGUCUAGGAGUCUCAACCUCAGAUCGACUACUCGACUUGUAAUGCCUGAAGGUAACUAGCAUCAUGGUUUUUGAGUCGCUGUAUAGUCGCCGACUAAUCGCCAAGUCGUUUUCCAAAAAUCAGGGCGACUCGCGACUUAUGGCGACUAUACAGCGACUUUCGUCGACUAUACGCCGAGCCGCAGGGCUCGCGGCGACUCGCCAAGUCGCGACUCAAAAACCUUGACUAGCAUAAUUAACCAUGUAAUUGGUUGUUUAUUAUAUCCUCACUGUUAUUAUUAAAAUUCAACUCUUGUUUUCAUCUUAGCUCUACUUUUUAUAUGCCUAUGAAUCUACAACUUUGCAAAAUAAGCUUUUGGAGAUCAUGAUAUACAAUUCUAAUGUUUGUCAGAAAAAAAUUAGGUUAAAUUGAUGGCUUUGAACUUGAUUAUUUCUUAUUCAUGUAACUAGUAGAAGUAACUACAUAGCUAGAGAAUUGUCCACACAAUUGUGUUGCUAUUGUAAAAUUAUCAUAAAAUGUAUAAUGUUUAUUAUUGAAAAUUUAAUCGUGUUGCAUGCCUAUUAUUUCAUAUCAUUGCAAGAAUAACUUUUUGUACUUUUUUUUUCAGUUUAUGAUUUUGGGUACCUAUUUAUUCUCUGUUGAUAAAACAUGUAGGUUUUCCGUUAUCUUCCUUUAUGUGUUUUCUCUGGGUUGAUGAUAUUUGUUUUUGAAUUUUGUCCUUUAGUAUGUUAUUAUUGUGUUUUUCCUUUUUAUCCAAACGGAAGUGGCGUAAUUGUAUUGUUCUCCAUAUAUUUCUAACUAUUGUUAUUUAUGAUUUAUUAUUACCCCUUGUUACAUAAAAAAUUCAGAUGACCUGGAGGCUGGUUUUAGUUUUGAGCAUAAGGGAAGUAUAUUUCCAUCCUUUCACGUGUGCAGUUGGCUAGAUAUUAUACUACCUUAUGUUUGUCUUGGAGAUAUAGUUGGAUAUGUUAUACAUCUCUACAUAUGGUUAAUCUUAACUGUUGUAAUCUGACUUUAUGCAAGUGCCAAAGGGUGCAACUAUGGUGCAAAGAUUUACUUUUGUCUCGGUUGUUGAUUGCAUCUUUAUCUUCCCAAUUUUUGUGACAUUCUUUUGUCGUCAGCAAAUGGAGAAAUUUGAUGUGAACGCAAAUGAAGUGCCUUGAUUGCAGUUCUGCUUCCCAAUUGAUAACAAAACCAAUUAGUAGAAGGACUGAAAUUCAUAUAGUAUGCAUGGAGUUUUACUUAUGUUCCCGCUUUCUAUUGAAAACUUUUUUCAUAUGGCUAUUCCAACACAAUGUUUCUAUGCAGGCAUAUAUGAGGUGUGUUGAUGGCGUUUCCCUCCCAGUCACCUGCAAAAUAUGUACAACUAGACAAGGCUAUACCGGAACUAGGGAGCAAAUGGAGCGGGCCUAUCAGCUAAGCCUCUGGCUUGCCCCGCUUACAAAUCCUGCUUAACUAAUUGCUUCUGUCUGAAAUACACGGUGCUACUGUUUGAAGUAGAUGUGCUAGUAGCCUACUACUGCUUCAGAACGAAAUAGUAAAGUAUAGUGGCAUAUCUUGCUGUGCGAAAAUCCUUGUUACCAGUUAUUAUUAUAGUGGCAAAUUCUGAUGCCCAAGUCUGAUAAACAAGUGACAAUUGUUUAUUGAGUACUGUCUUAAUAUUUUCUACCAUGUGUUAGUAGAUAGAUUAUGUCAGACACUCGAGGGAAAUUCGGUCAAAACGAUGCAAUGAGCUAGUGAAAGCUCAGAUGGUUUUCAACACGCAGUAGAGUACAUGGUGUUGAGUAAGAUUUAUAUUCCUUUCAUUUGUGAUGAAUUUUAUACAUGAAAGAGUGUGCACUUCUAACAGUAGUGUAUUUGUUCACACACACUCACUGUCAGGGUCAUGGUUAGCGCAUACAGUGGGCGCCACAUCAUAGGAUUAGUGUGUUUUAAUAUCUAUAUGUUGCAUCUUACUGGUGGUCGAGUUUUGACUGUAACAGCUACUGUUACGUGACUUGACUCUUUCCGUUUUGCUCCAACUAGUCUGAGAUGACCUUAGAACAGAGCAAGUUAGCUUGACAUGACCUUGCAAACAGGCUGAUGAUAUUUAUUAUAACUAGCAUGUCAUGCACACAAUGAUAAAUAGCCAUGAACAAUGUAUUGCUGCUUAAUUUAAGAUGCAACAUAUCUAAAUAUGAAAAUCCAGCGUAUUUGCUUAGAGGAACAACAUUUUUAUGUAGCUCCUCCAUGACAAUUGUUGCUGGUACAAUGUUUGUUUUAUCUGGAAGGUGUCAUCAGGGGCUGAUUUGAAACUAAACCCACCCUGAUGCACUACUUUCCCAUGGCUUAAAAGUUUCAUUCCACAAUAUGAAGAUUUGCUAAACAAAUAGUGUAUUUUGGGACAAUGCUUGAUAUAACGAUGAAACAAAGGACACAAAUACAUGGUAACAACCGAGUGCCUUUUGAAAAUAUACCAAGUAACCAAUGCCUAUGAUUUUGGAAUAUACACCAUCAACUUAAAAUUGGCAAAUGGCAUUUAAAAUAGUCAAAUGAAAUUUUUAACAAGCUAAAUAUAUUCAUAUUAGCUCCUAGAACAUUCCAUCUUUUAUGGACAUGAAAUAUGCAACCACUUGAGAGGAAUAAUUGACUAACUGAAUGCAGAUUGUAUAUAGUCGCUUAAAGAGCAAUACAAUGAGUCAAUGCCAAUUACUUAGACCACUAUUGAAUUAGGAGUUGGUAAAAUCCUAAACCAUUAUAAAGUUGGCAAACUUUGGUCUUGUACCCACAUAUCAUGGAUGGAAACAAUAUUUAUCACCAAGGCAUUGGCGACUUGGGGAAUCAGAUUUGAGGCCUGGAUUGAGGGCCGACUCACAAGGGCGGCCGACUUUGAUUUCAGAAUUUAAGCAUGGCAGCAAGGAGCCAAGGGUCAGGUGGGUCAGGUGCACAAGGUGCCAGCAUCGCUGCUGAGCUCGGUGGCCGCCGCGAGGAGGCAAGGGUAGUCGCGUCGUGGAGAUGGGAACAUUGAUACAAUUAAAGGACGAUGCUACGCUGAUGCAUGACUGAAAUGGAUUUAUUUUGUUGAGCAAAAUAUGAUUGAAAUAGAUGGUGCAUACUACAUAGCAGUGAAAAGAAAUCUGGACCCUGAUGCAUGUGCAUCUGGCCGUUCCUGGGUGUCAUGAUGGCAGGAACUAAGAAGACACAUUGUAUAAAUCCCUUGUAUUUGGCUUCAUUUGGGCAUAAUUUUUUAAAUUAGUAUCAGCAACCCUUCUUUCA